AUUAGGUAAAGUAGCUGUCAACAUUAUAGUUGUGCAGGCACUUUGGCCACUCUAGAGAACCUCGGACCAAUCGCACGUCCCCAUGACGGCGACAACGCAUUCGGAUGUCUGCCCUAUCAACUUUCGAUGGACUUUUUGCGCCUAUAAUGGUGACCACGGGUAAUGGGGAAUCAGGGUUUGAUUCCAGAGAGGGAGCCUGAGAAAAGGCUACCACAUGCAAGGAAGGAA